rnacentral:rRNA from 1 species
CGGGGUGAGUAAUGUAUGGGGAUCUGCCUGAUGGCGGGGGAUAACUACUGGAAACGGUAGCUAAUACCGCAUAAUGUCUACGGACCAAAGCGGGGGACCUCCGGGCCUCGCGCCAUCAGAUGAACCCAUAUGGGAUUAGCUAGUAGGUAAGGUAACGGCUUACCUAGGCGACGAUCCCUAGCUGGUCUGAGAGGAUGAUCAGCCACACUGGGACUGAGACACGGUCCAG